rnacentral:tRNA from 1 species
CGGGGUGUGGCGCAGUUGGCAGCGCGCAUCGUUUGGGACGAUGAGGCCCCCGGUUCGAGUCCGGGCACCCCGA